rnacentral:rRNA from 1 species
CAGCAGCCACGGGAAUACGGAGGGGGCUAGCGUUGUUCGGAAUCACUGGGCGUAAAGGGAGCGUAGGCGGCGUGGUAAGUCAGAUGUGAAAUCCCGGGGCUCAACCCCGGAACUGCAUCCGAUACUGCCGUGCUAGAGGAUUGGAGAGGUAGCUGGAAUUCUUGGUGUAGCAGUGAAAUGCGUGGAGAUCAAGAGGAACACUCGUGGCGAAAGCGAGCUACUGGACAAUAUCUGACGCUGAGGCUCGAAGGCCAGGGUAGCGAAAGGGAUUAGAUACCCCUGUAGUCCCUGUCUCUUAUAC